GGGCCCUUAGUUCAGCGGCUAGAACGUCUCCCUUACAAGGAGAAGGUCCUCGGUUCGAUUCCGGGAGGGCCCA
rnacentral:tRNA from 1 species